GAUUUCUUACGUUUUGGAGCUGGACUGCAGGGAUGCAAACUCGUCACCUUUCGGAGAAAUGUACCGCUUUUAAUAAAACAAUUCGGUGACCUAUGUGAUUCGUGUAGAUCCGAUGAGAAACGUUUUGGGGAAAGAGGCUUUGAAUCACUACUGGCUGUAAGCGAACGAGUGAUGCGCGUUUGGAGCAAUACUGGCUGUUCCCAAGGCUCAGCCAAUCGUUCACAUAACAGAAUGCAGCACGAAGAGAUAAGAGACAGGCAAUUUCCUAGUUACAGUAUCAGCGUGCACCCUGGAAAGACAGCGGAAAGCCGUCAGUUUGCCAGCUACAGGCCCCUGAACGAUGACGAAGAGGUUGGUCAGAAGGUGAUGAAGUGUAAAAACAACUGGCAAAUAGAACGUUUUAGGUGAGGGAGAUUAAGUAUCUUGCUCGCUGGAUCGAAUUAUCCGUUAGCUAGCCAGAGAAACGUGGAGCAACAUUAGCCAAUUUAACUGAUCAAAUAUUUGAGUUUGUGUGAAGAUUAGCUGGCUAAUAAAGUCAGACAGCACAACAUAAGAUGAGCUAACGUUAGUAACCUAACCAAUUCGCUAUAGUAUUAACGUUAACUGGUAUACGACUCCUUACCGUUCAAGUUCUAAUGCCUUAGUUGCUUAUUGGAACCAGGCAACCUGUUUGAAAUGUUAACUAACAAACUAGCUAACGAGGUUUCACUCUCGCCAAAAUUGGACGCAGCUGCAGGGAAUAGCGGGACUUUUUCUCAACACAUUGCAGAGGUAAAGAUAGUAGAUUGAUUUGUUUUGGUAACUGAUCUACAACGUUAAAUUAAACUAAACUAUAGUUUAGCACGCCCUUUAUGUUGGAACAUUCUUCGAACACACAGUAGGCCUUGCUUUGAGUGGGACACACAUAAUUAUUAACAUAACUAUUAAACUCGGACAAAACAGAGAUGCUUGUUCUAGGUCCCAAAAAACAAAGAGAUCUUCUGUUGAAUCAGACAAUUAAUCUUAAUGGUUGUACAGUCGUCUCAAAUAAAACUGAAGGACCCCGGCGUUACUUAUUAUUAUUAUUAUUAUUAUAUUACUCUGGACCCUGAUCUCUCUUUUGAAGAACAUAUUAAGACCAUUUCGAGGACAGCUUUUUUCCAUCUACGUAAUAUUGCAAAAAUCAGAAACUUUCUGUCCAAAAAUGAUGCAGAAAAAUUAAUCCAUGCUUUUGUCACUUCUAGGUUAGACUACUGCAAUGCUCUACUUUCCGGCUACCCGGAUAAAGCACUAAAUAAACUUCAGUUAGUGCUAAAUACGGCUGCUAGAAUCCUGACUAGAACCAAAAAAUUUGAUCAUAUUACUCCAGUGCUAGCCUCUCUACACUGGCUUCCUGUCAAAGCAAGGGCUGAUUUUUAAGGUUUUACUGCUAACCUACAAAGCAUUACAUGGGCUUGCUCCUACCUAUCUCUCUGAUUUGGUCCUGCCGUACAUACCUACACGUACGCUACGGUCACAAGACGCAGGCCUCCUAAUUGUCCCUAGAAUUUCUAAGCAAACAGCUGGAGGCAGGGCUUUCUCCUAUAGAGCUCCAUUUUUAUGGAACGGUCUGCCUACCCAUGUCAGAGAAGCAAACUCUGUCUCAACCUUUAAGUCUUUACUGAAGACUCAUCUCUUCAGUGGGUCAUAUGAUUGAGUGUAGUCUGGCCCAGGAGUGGGAAGGUGAACGGAAAGGCUCUGGAGCAACGAACCGCCCUUGCUGUCUCUGCCUGGCCGGUUCCCCUCUUUCCACUGGGAUUCUCUGCCUCUAACCCUAUUACAGGGGCUGAGUCUCUGGCUUACUGGGGCUCUCUCAUGCCGUCCCUGCAGGGGGUGCGUCACCUGAGUGGGUUGAUUCACUGUUGUGGUCAUCCUGUCUGGGUAGGCGCCCCCCCCACUUGGGCUGUGCCGUGGCGGAGAUCUUUGUGGGCUAUACUCAGCCUUGUCUCAGGAUGGACCUGAGCCCUAGGACCAUGCCCCAGGACUACCUGACAUGACGACUCCUUGCUGUCCCCAGUCCACCUGGCCAUGCUGCUGCUCCAGUUUCAACUGACCUGAGCCCUAGGACCAUGCCCCAGGACUACCUGACAUGAUGACUCCUUGCUGUCCCCAGUCCACCUGGCCAUGCUGCUGCUCCAGUUUCAACUGUUCUGCCUUACUAUUAUUCGACCAUGCUGGUCAUUUAUGAACAUUUGAACAUCUUGGCCAUGUUAUGUUAUAAUCUCCACCCGGCACAGCCAGAAGAGGACUGGCCACCCCACAUAGCCUGGUUCCUCUCUAGGUUUCUUCCUAGGUUUUGGCCUUUCUAGGGAGUUUUUCCUAGCCACCGUGCUUCUACACCUGCAUUGCUUGCUGUUUGGGGUUUUAGGCUGGGUUUCUGUACAGCACUUUGAGAUAUCAGCUGAUGUACGAAGGGCUAUAUAAAUAAAUUUGAUUUGAUAAUUUUAUAUGUUGCAGGAUGUCUUGCAGAUAAGUGCCUCCUGUGGUUAUGGUCUGUGAUUCACUCUAGCAUAAGAUUUCCACUCGGCGUUAUGAAUUGGUGAAUGCGGCCAAAUGCUACUACAUGCACAGACACUAGUUUCUUCUCUGGCAGUGAGUCUGGAUCUGAGUAACUCCCCAACCUGUCACUGAAUCUGAACACACUCAGGGGGUCUGAUUGGUCCAGAAACCGAUGGGUUGGGCCAAAGCCAGAACACGUAGGUAAAGAGUAGAGGUCGCCCUAUUAAUCGGCAGUUUUGGAUGCCGAUUACAUUGCACUCCACGAGGAGACUGCGUGGCAGGCUGACCACCUGUUAUACGAGUGCAGCAAGGAGCCAAAGUAAGUUGCUAGCAUUAAACUUAUCGUAUUAAAAAAAACUAUACAUCUUAACAUAAUCACUAGUUAACUAAACAUGGUUGAUGAUAUUACUAGCUUGUCCUGCAUUGCAAAUAAUCAAUGUGGGAGGAGUUAACACUUGGGCGGAGUUAACAGUUAACACUUAAUGUAUCAUCAAAUCACAGCCUACUUUGCCAAACGGGUGAUGAUUUAACAAGCGCAUUUGCAAAAAAGCACUGUCGUUGCACCAAUGUACCUAACCAUAAACAUCAAUGCCUUUCUUAAAAUCAAUACAUAAGUAUAUAUUUUUAAACCAGCAUAUUUAGUUAAAAGAAAUUCAUGUUAGCGGGCAAUAUUAACUUGGGAAAUUGUGUCACUUCUCUUGGGUUCAGUGCAAGCAGAGUCGGGGUAUAUGCAGCAGUUUGGCUCGUUGCGAACUGUGUGAAGACCAUUUCUAACAGACUAAUUAAUUUGCCAAAAUUGUACAUAAUUAUGACAUCACAUUGAAGGUUGUGCAAUGUAACAGCAAUAUUUAGACUUAUGGAUGCCACCCGUUCGAUAAAAUACGGAACGGUUCUGUAUUUCACUGAAAGAAUAAACAUUUUGUUUUGAUAGUU